GCCUGGCUAGCUCAGUCGGUAGAGCACACGGCUCUCGAUCCGGCGUUGUGAGUCCAAAUCCCAUGUUGGGUG
rnacentral:tRNA from 1 species